rnacentral:rRNA from 1 species
CGUGAAGGUUUUUCUAGG